UCCAAACUUUUCACCUUGAUACCUUUGUUAUUGUUUUCUGAUUGCCCAGGUGAAUGCCAUGAUUGUCUGUGGAGCCAGAUCCUUGAAGAAGAGCUCUGCAAAUUGUGAUUUUCUACUGUAAGGUCAUCCCAAGCUCAGCAGUGACUCAGCAGCACACCUGCCCUUGCACACGUGACUGAACAUCUCCUGCUGUGUGUUUCAUCUCCAGCACUGCAAUUCCUAAAGCUAGAAGCAAAUAAAAGUCAUGCUUCAUGAAAAAUAAACUUUUAUAAUUUAGGUCUCCAGCACCACCUGGUCUUCCAUCCUCUCCCCUAACCCCUUCCUGGAUAACAUUUCCUGUGCUGAUUGUAUUAGUGUAGCAGGGAGUGAAGUACAGUCAAAGGCUAAUCUUUUUGUGAUUGAAUAUUAGAUUCCUCGUUUCAAGAGGCUCUUGCAAACAGCUUUUUGUCAGACUGAUGGAAGAUGGCAAGGAUGGAAGUGAAGUAGGGAAAAAUACAUGUUUCUUCCCAAGGGUUUUUAUUCUCUUUUCCUUCAUAGCUUUUACAUUAUGGAAAAUAGUAUAAUUUAAAGUUGUAAUUUCAAAAAAGAUGUUCAUUACUGAGAAGGCAGCUUGACCAAAUCUUCCUCAGAAGACACUUAAUUGACAGUGUUUAGGACUGACAACACACCUGAGAUGGAUUACUAGCAAUUCAUCCUUGAAGCAGAAGGAAAGGAACAGGACAAAAUGGACAGAAAGAAAAAACCUGGAGCUGCAAGAUCUAAAAUGGAGUAAACAUGCAACUGAAUAAUACUGGUCCUGUGCUUCCUGAACCAUCUUUAGAAGUGUAGAAAAUUACAUAGUAAAAUCCAUUAAUUGUUAUUUUUGCAGGAUGAAGAUCCAGGACAAACACUGCUGCUCCUCAGGCAAAGUCCUUUUCCCCUUAUGCAGAAGGUGGGAUCUUUCCAAGGGACCAGUCCUCCCAGGACUUUCCAUUCCUAUCUUAAAACAACCCUCUGCUCUUUCUUAUUUUAAUCACUUUUAAUAGCUCUAUGAGUUGCUCUCCUCUCCCUAUUCCCAAAAGAAAAUAUUUGCAUGCAGGUUAGAAAGGGUGGUGUCCAGAAGGAGCCUGGCAGUUAAGGCAAAAUAUAUACAUGAUGCAAGUAAAAUAUAAUUUACCAACACAUAAUACCUGUCUCCAACCACCACCCAAUUCUGUAGGGUUUGACUUUGAUUAUGUCUCUCCUUGCACUUUAUGAGUCCUCUAUAUCUACAUGUUUGCUGCUGCUCAACCUCAACUGUUGUAGUUUUUAUGUACAGGGGAAAAAAAAGCAGGAAAAGAUAUACUCUGAAUCCUGGUUAUUUUUGUUUAUUGUGGGAAGGAGGAUUAAAGAUAAAGUUUCAGAACUGCCCUCUCCCAGAAAAGUAACUUGGUUUUGCUUGUGCUGCUGCCUAUAAAAUAAUGUGGGAUUUGGGAUGUUUGUGAGGAUACUGGGCCAAGCAGUCAGCACAGCAAAGGGUCUCUGCUUUGUCACCUCACUGUUAAAGCUCUUGCUGUGAAUUUGGCAGGUGAGGGGGGGAGGGUCUUCCUCUGAUGUUUGUGUGCCAAUGGUGUUUGUGUUUAAUAUAGGUUUUAACACUGAUACCCAGGAGGAAAGGAGGAUUCUGUCCAAAGACCCCGAGGAGAUGGAGCUGCAAGCCUGGGUGAGGAGACUCCAGGAGAGGGAAGCCAUCCAGACUCAUUAGCACACCACAGCAAUUGUCAGAACCGAUGAUAUCUGGAGGCAGUUGCUGUUUUCCAACUCACCUCUAAGGAUCCACUGAGGCACAGCUACACAGGACUCUCCAGAGGGUGAUGUAAGACUUGGAACCACAGACAGCCCAAAUUCAGCCAGAUCAUAACACAAAUCUAUCAGCCUCAGCCACGUGGGAUUCAUCUGAGAAAGCAAACUGGUUGUCUAGUCUUGCUUUGGCACCACAGGGAAAUUGGCACAUUCAAGGCAUGAUUCACCUUGCCCUAAAGCUGAUAUCUAAAAUAAGUCAGCUGAGCACGCAGUAGAAAUUCCUGUUUCCCUUCAUGGCUACAAAGGAUGGGAGGCUCAGUGAGGCACAGAUGUCUCCAGCGUGGAUGUUUUGAAUUAGGCAAGAUGAACCUGUCUAUGCUGUAUUUUUUAAAAAUGCUUUGUGUGAUGGAUGCUUAGGUCUCAAAUUGGAAGCACAAGUUCAAUUAUAAAGUACAGUGUCCUCAAGGGCCCUUGAAGAAAUUCAUUUGCUCUGAGUUCAACCCUGACCCAAAGUCCUGAUGCAUCUUCUCCCAGUAUUUAGUGACUAUAACUUGACAGACACUUCACUGUUUAGUCGUCUCUAUCCUUUCAUUUAGCAACUGAAUUCAAAGAUUUAAUGGAUAUUUUUAGAGUUUACUCACAUAACUUUAAAAUUGUUUGGACCAAGUAGCAUAGACAUUUGCCCCUUCUUCCACAAAGAGCUCUAGGAUUUGUAAAAAUGAAAACAUGACUUUGCCCCAAAUGGCUAUUUUCUUCAUUUUUUCCCCCCCUUUGUCUUGUGUCAUCCAUAAUACUUUGAUUGUGCCACUGCUCAGAGGAGAAGUUUUUUUGAGUAGUUUGGAACAUCUUGAGCUUUGAUUUCUAAUCAAUUUGCACUAACAGCUAUGGGAACCAGUAUAACAAGUCUUUCCUGUCUCUUUCUCUUUCUUACACUUGGAAAAAUAAAUCUGAGCAGCGACGUGAGUCUUGUAUAAUUACUCUUCCAUUCGUAUUUCUAGACUUGUCAAUCUGGCAAGCGCCAUAGAGCGGGAUUAAAAGCUUUCUCCUUCUCUCUCAAUCAGAGAUUUCAUUUGCUUCCGUGUUUUACA